CCCGAUCGCGGCCCGCAUGCGUCUGACGGCAGGAGGUAGGAGCCGGCGCAGGACCGAGAGGGGCAGUUGAGAGCUCGGUGCUUGGCAGCCAGACAGGAUGGGGCCACGUGCUCAAGGAGAACCACCUGGUUCAAGUCUGAUGGGGCUCCUGUGGACCAGCCCGGCGGUGCCGCCUCGGGUCGAGAGCAGAGCGCGUGGAACGGGCUGCCUGGCUCACAUCACAGCAGACGGACAGACAGACAGACGCACCUUGUGCUGCUGGUCGCAGCAUCUCCUGCGGGCGGGC